UACAGAGGGUGCAAGCGUUGUCCGGAAUCAUUGGGCGUAAAGAGCGUGUAGGCGGCCCGAUAAGUCCGCUGUGAAAGUCCAGGGCUCAACCCUGGGAUGCCGGUGGAUACUGUCGGGCUCGAGUCCGGAAGAGGAGUGUGGAAUUCCUGGUGUAGCGGUGAAAUGCGCAGAUAUCAGGAGGAACACCAAUGGCGAAGGCAGCACUCUGGGACGUGACUGACGCUGAGACGCGAAAGCGUGGGGAGCAAACAGG
rnacentral:rRNA from 1 species